rnacentral:rRNA from 1 species
UAACAUCCGGAAACGGGUGCUAAUACCGCAUAGUUUUCUGGUCGCAUGAUCGGGAAAGGAAAGACGGCCUUUGUGCUGUCGCUUAUGGAUGGACCCGCGGCGUAUUAGUUAGUUGGUGAGGUAACGGCUCACCAAGACGAUGAUACGUAGCCGACCUGAGAGGGUGGUCGGCCACAUUGGGACUGAGACACGGCCCAAACUCCUACGGGAGGCAGCAGUAGGGAAUCUUCCGCAAUGGACGAAAGUCUGACGGAGCAACGCCGCGUGAGUGAAAAGAAGGUUUUCGGAUCGUAAAACUCUGUUGUCAGAGAAGAACAAGUUGGAGAGUAACUGCUCCAGCCUUGACGGUAUCUGACCAGAAAGCCACGGCUAACUACGUGCCAGCCGCGGC